UACGGAGGGUGCUCGCGUUGUUCGGAAUUACUGGGCGUAAAGGGCGCGUAGGCGGCCGUUUGCGUCGGAUGUGAAAGCCCGGGGCUCAACCUCGGAACGGCAUUCGAUACGGGACGGCUGGAGACCGGGAGAGGAGAGUGGAAUAGCCAGUGUAGAGGUGAAAUUCGUAGAUAUUGGCUGGAACACCGGUGGCGAAAGCGGCUCUCUGGCCCGGUUCUGACGCUGAGGCGCGAAAGCGUGGGGAGCAAACAGG
rnacentral:rRNA from 1 species